UACGUAGGGUGCGAGCGUUAAUCGGAAUUACUGGGCGUAAAGCGUGCGCAGGCGGUUUUGUAAGUCUGUCGUGAAAUCCCCGGGCUUAACCUGGGAAUUGCGAUGGAGACUGCAAGGCUAGAAUCUGGCAGAGGGGGGUAGAAUUCCACGUGUGAGCAGUGAAAUGCGUAGAGAUGUGGAGGAACACCGAUGGCGAAGGCAGCCCCCUGGGUCAAGAUUGACGCUCAUGCACGAAAGCGUGGGGAGCAAACGAGGAUUACGAAACCCGG
rnacentral:rRNA from 1 species